AGGUGUUAAAUAGAUAUUACUAUGUUCAGUUGCGGUCUGAAAAGAUAUACGCCUUAAUUAUAGACAUUUA
rnacentral:tRNA from 1 species